AAGGUUUGGAGGCAUUGAGGAAAGGAAGGCAUUGGAGAAGUAGCUUGCCUGACGUCAGUUCUUCGGUGGAGCAAGUGUACCAUCGACUUCGACUCGCCCUCAGCUCUAGCCAGUCUCCAGCACAUCAGAUUUCAGGGUGAGCUAUUCCUUCUAGCUCGUGCUGGAUUCUCUCAGUUAUGGCGUGAUGUCCUUGAAUUUCGGACAUGGACCAUCGUAUUUACUUAUUUGGGGUCUCUAAUACUUUUUAGACUUGAUAUGUUAAGAACAGAUGUCCUUGUUGUGAUGACUUUCAGAUUUUGGGGAUAAUAUGUAAUAGACUUUAGAGGUUUAUUUGAUCGGUUA